GUUACAAUAUUUUGUAUAUUUUAUGUAUAAUACCCAAAUUACCCAUCAGUGCGCGUGAGAAAACGUAGGCCCCGCACUAAGCAUGGGCACUUUACCCGAUACCCGAAGCUGCACCCGAACCUGACCUGAAAAACCCGAACCGAAGUAGCAAAAUACCUGAACGGGUAUUAAUUUAUGAGAUAUUGGAUAUUCGAACCCGAACGGGUGAUAUCCGAAUCCGAAUGGAUACCCGAAAAUAACCGAACAUAAGUAUAUAUAACCUUAUAUUUUUAAUUUAAAUCUUUUAUUUUAUUGAAAAUAAUUAUAGUGAUGUUAUACAUACUUUAAAAUCAUAUAAUAUGCAUAUAAGUACAUAUAAAAUGAUUUGAUACUCACUUAAAAUGCAUGUCAAGCUUUUUGUUUUAUGUAUUAACAAAAGUUACAUCCAAUUUUUUUUUAAAAAUGACCAAAUUAAUGUUUAUUUAUUUUUGCAAUGUUAUCUCCAAAUCUAUUAAUCACUCAAUCUAUUAAAAAUAAAAAAGAUUAGUUAAGUAAAAGUUAUAUUUUUAAAUACAAGAAACUUAAAACAAUGAAAAAAUUAAUUUUUUAUUUCAAAAUCUAAAUAUCCGAACCCGAUCCGAAAUAACCGAACCCGAACUAAAAAUAUCCGAACCCGACCCGAAAUACAAAAAUACCCGAACGGAUCUAUAUCCCUAUACCAAAAUACCUAAAAAUCCGAAAUACCCGAGCCGAACCCGAAAGGGUACCCGAACGCCCACCCCUACCCCACACCGUCUUCUGUUCUCGAUAAACAAUGGCAACUAAACAGUUUUUCCUCAGUUUCGAAAACAAAAGAACCCAACAAAAGAGAGAUUUGGAUAGCAUAUAAGUUUAUCGCAACUGUGAAAGAAAAAAGGUUUGGGUGGUGUUACGCAGAAGGAAAGCGAUUGCGUCAAAGGAAAUUAGAAGAUUGGUUAACAGAGGCCGUGGUGAUUAACGGCUUGAGCCACGAUUGUACAGUGGAAAACAGGGCCGGAUUCAAGAUCUGGGUCGGAGCGGGGAACAAAAACGGAAGAGAAAGGAUAGAAGAGUUUGGUUUGCCAGAGCGCUUGUUUCAGACAGGUUAUAAACCUACAGGCUG